AUGCCAAGUAUGUUAUGUUCCUGAUGGGGGGAGGGCAGACUGAAGGGCCUUGGGAGCAAGUAUCUUGACCUAAGGGAGAAUGGCGUGUGUAGGUUUGGUUGCAUCUGAGAGGUGUGAUCUGAAGGACACAGAGGGAAUGGGCUGGGAGGAGAAAGGGUGAGGCCCGUGUGGCUGGACCAGAACAUAGAUGGCAUCCAUCCUGUUGUUGCUGUGGGCUGGAUACAGAGUCCAAUAGUAACACGAGGAGAACAGCAUCAAUGGUGUUGUGACCUUGGUAUUCUCUCUGAGGUAGAGUUCUGGGGAAAGGGGGAGCAUCAGGAUGUGUUUGGGGGUGGUGGUUUGGGCCUCUGGGGAAAUAGGAUGUCAGUGAGAGAUAUAUUACCCUUCCAUGUCAAAGGCCUGGCUGGGUGUGUCCCUUUGUCCAUAUUUUGGUUGUUUUUUCUGCCUAGUCAUCAACCCCUAGGAUCAGCUGAACCCACCACUGCAGGGUAUGGUGACAUGUGAGGAUGUGGCCCUGUAUUUCUCCCUGAAGUGGAGGCUCCUUAAUGUAACCCCAUGUAAUCACCAUGAUGUGAUGUUGAACUUUGAGCUCGUCGGCUCACUGGACUCGGCACCACAUCCUCUAGGAUGAGUGCAUCUGAAUCCGCUGCACGACAUCCAGGAGCCGGGUCCUUCUCCUGCUGGCCUCGCAUCUUGAUGUGCCCAGGACCUUUCUCCCUGACAUCCUCAACAACGCGCUCACCCUCCUCCACAAGGCCCCCUACCUGACUAUGGCCUUACACGGGGCAGGCUACCAGCCUACUGUCCCCUGACCAUGUUCCAGACCCAUCCCCGGUACCCCAGACCUGAGUCCAGUGGCCCAGGCACCACCAGACUCAACACUUGUAAAGUCCAACUGCGGAUCUUCUCCAACACUUCCUCCUCCUGCCAAGGCUCCCUGGCCGCUGGUCCGCAGCUCCUCACUGAACUCAGGCUGGAGAGGCUUUUCUGAGCUCCGUCUCCUGCUCCGUGAAGCAGACACCGCGUCCGGGGCGAUGACUCCUGGGCGGCGGCGGGCACGGAUGGGCUUUGAUGGAGGUGAGACCCGAAGGUGAUGCCUCUUUACCGCCAAAAACACUCGCCGAGCUUAAGCCGCGUACAGAGCGCGCAGCCUCCUCUCAGGCCCUCUAUAUUCCAGUUUCCACCGUUCUGAGGAGCCUCCCAGAUUCCCGCCUCCGCGCAGUUACGCAGUCCGUCUGCCGGACGUGGUUCCGAAGGAGGGCGACGCCGGAAGUCCCACCUCCACGGAACGCGGAAAAGCUCCUCUCUGGGGCCGUCAUUGGCUACGUCGGUACGAACGCACAGCAGCGCCCUCCCCUGUCGCCUUGGCAACGAGCAAGCGGCACCGCGAGGGGAGCUGGGAAAUGAGGCCCUAAAGUGACGCUGGAGCUAAGUUAAUGAAGGCGUCUGGAGGCGGCCGGACUUCCGGCGUUGCUCUAGCUGUGCUCUCCUUGCAGCUGUGGGUGGAGACCAGCACUUGGAGAGCCGCGUUGCCGAGAGGAGGGUCGGGGACCCUCGUGGCGCCUGCGCGCGCGCCGUGACCCUCGGAAAUAACCCCAUUUUUCUAAGACUCGGUGUCGCCCACUGCGGAACGGGUGCCGGAGGGUCAGGGCCUCCCGCGGGCGGUUCCCUGGUCUUUGAGCACAUUUUACACGGAGGAGACCUAGCUUCGAAGGUUCCGCGGUCGGCCGGAGGUUCCUGCGCCCAAGGCGGGGUGGUAGGUACGGAUUUGAGCUGAGUAGACCGGAAUUCGGCGCCUAUCGCAGCCAAGCUCCGUCCACAGCUUCCGAUGGCCGAGGAGGCGCUGGGGCUGGUGACCUUUGAGGAUGUGGCUGUGUAUUUCUCCCGGGAGGAGUGGGGCCUCCUUAAUCUGACUCAGAGGAGCCUUUACCGUGAUGUGAUGCUAGAGAACUUUGCACUUAUUGGCUCGCUGGGAUUUGCAUCUUCAAGGUGCCGUGUGGUUGCCCAGCUGGAGAGUGAAGAAGAGUUCUGGGUUCCCAGCAUGGUGGACCUGACUCUGGUCAGCAGAGUUGAGGCCAGGAGGGGUCCUGGUCUUGGUUGUCCGUGUAGCCUGAAGGAUGGGGAAACCCCUACAGAGCAGAUGAAGAGUUACAGAGUCUACCUGUCAGAGAAGCCCUCUCUGCUUGGGGAGUCUGGGAAGGACGUGCCUACCACCUUAGGUCUUCUCCGGCCCCAGGCCACCCACAGCAAGGGGAAGCCACCCAGGAGCACCGAGCGUGGAGAAGCCUUCCAACCCAGCUCCAGUAGCCAACAGCAGCAGGCAGUCCACGCCACACAGAAGGCCUUCAAGUGCAGUGACUGCGGGAAAGCCUUCCCAAAGGCCUUUGCGCUCCUUGACCACCUGGUAACCCACCCCAAAGAGAGACCCUUUAGAUGUCCAAAAGGUGGAAAUGCCCCCAAGGGGAAAUCCCCCCAUGUUAAUUACCAAAAAAUUCACACUGGAGAAACAUCCCAUGUGUGUACUGAGUGCGGAAAGGCCUUUAGUUAUCCCUCUAAACUGAGGAAGCACCAGAAGGUUCACACGGGCAUAAAACCUUUCAAGUGUGAUGAAUGUGGCAAAACCUUCAACCGCAAAGAUGCACUCGUUCUGCACCAGAGAAUUCACACUGGAGAAAGGCCUUAUGAGUGCAGCGAAUGUGGGAAAGCCUUCAGCGUUCUGUCUACUCUCAUUCGGCACCGGAAAGUUCACAUUGGAGAAAGGCCCUAUGAGUGCAGGGAAUGUGGGAAGUUCUUUAAAUACAACCAUAGCUUCAUUCUUCAUCAGAGAGUUCACACUGGAGAAAGGCCUUAUGAGUGCAAGCAAUGUGGGAAAACUUAUGUGACCCGCUCUGGCCUGUAUCAGCACUGGAAAGUUCACACUGGAGAACGGCCCUAUGAGUGCAGCCUGUGUGGGAAGACCUUCACCACCAGGUCCUACCGCAAUCGGCACCAGCAGUUCCACACCGAAGAGAGGUCCUACGAGUGUACAGAAUGUGGGAAAGCCUUCAAACAUAGUUCUACCCUUCUUCAGCACAAGAAAGUCCACACUGGAGAAAGGCCAUGAGAAGACAGGGGAUGUUGGAAAGCCUGUAGCUAGGGCUGGCGCCUUGUUCAACGUGAAAAACCUCACUCCAGAAAGGAGAGGAGAGUAGCCAUUUGAAAGCUGAACCCGGCACACCCCAACACACGCGCUGGGGUGGCAGGUGUGCGGGAAGUUUUCGGGAGCUGGGUCGCACUUGGACCCGCCUAGGCUGUUGGCAGUGUUAAGUUGCUGCCAGUUUCCAUGCUACAAACCAUCGCAGCUCCACCACCUGGCAGGUGCCCAAGGUGUGCCUCAGGCACCGCAACGUGCUCUGGAACAGCAAGACCUCCAUGGUCGCCACUCUUUAAAGGAGAGAAUCAUGAGUGGUGGAGUCCGUGAUGGGCCUCCUUUGCUCCCUCCAGCUGGUUCAGGUGUGCCUGUGACCAAGCUCUGGUCAAGAGUAGCUGAGCUGUGUCUACUGGGGGCUUCCAGAGAAGGUUAAUCCUUUCCGUGGACAUCGUUUACACUACGCAUGGUACCUGUCACGGAUUUAUCCAACCCUGGAACUGACUGUCUCACACUUCCCUGGAAUGUAUGUUUGCACUGGCGGCCCUGGAGUCUGAGACCUAGAAGGGAACUGGAUCUGCUGUAUGUAAUGUCAGCCUUCAUGGACGCCACCACAUUCGGAGGUUCGUCCCCGUCUCGUCUCCAUGCAGCAAAGUAACAUUCCCAAAGGAAUUUCACAUCAGGUCCACCAGGACAUCCAGCUCUGCUUUUAGGAAAAGUCACCGCGAAGAGGAGGCAGCAACAAUGCCUUCUCAUCCACCAAGCACUAUGGAUGGAUACUGCAUGCUGAAGCCUCUCAUGUCAGAAAACUCCAGGUCUUUCUCCCCCCAGGUCUCAUGGAGGGACACAGGGGAACGUAUAUAGCCCACAUACAUGUUUUGUCAAACUGCUUUUGUACCAAAAUGUUUUUUCAAAUGGCUUCUAACAUAAAACCAAAAGCCACAUAAAAAUCUGCA